AAAACAAAAAAUUCGUUUUAUUCUUAUAGACUUAAGAGUGAGAUUCUUAGGCUUUUUUUACACUAUAAUUGCUUCUAAUUAAGGAAGUUAUUGUAAUAUUUAUAAUAUUUUUAAUUUAAAUAAUAUAAAAACUAAAAAGGCGCUCCUGAUAGAAUAACGCUCUAGAGGGGGUAAACAUUAUGUUAUUAGUCUAUAUAUUAAUUACUCAAUAAUAUGGGUAAACAGUGUAGCGUCAAUUUUAUUGAGUAAAGUUCUAGAUAGUGAUAAUAUGAUUAUGACAAAAAACUAUCUAUAAGUCUUGACCAAAAUACAUGCCAGCAGUCGCGGUAAGAUGUAAAAGACUAGUGUUAUUCAUCUUUAAUAGGUUUAAAGGGUACCUAGACGGUUUAUUUAGUCUUUAACAGGAUACGAAUAAUCUAGAGUUAUAUGUAAGGAGGUGAGUAUUUAUGGAGUAGAGUUGAAAUUCGUUGAUACCAUAACGACUGGUAAAGGCGAAAGCAACCUUUUAUCUAAUAACUGACGUUGAGGAACGAAGGCUUGGGUAGCGAACAGGAUUAGAUACCCUAGUAGUCCUUGCAGAAAAUGAUGAAUGCCAUAGGUUAGAUAAUAAUUUAGUCUAUAAAUGAAAGUGUAAGCAUUUCACCUCAAGAGUAAUGCGGCAACGCAGGAACUGAAAUCAUUAGACCGUUUCUGAAACCAGUAGUGAAGUAUGUUAUUUAAUUCGUAAGUACGCGAAAAACCUUACCACAACUUGAAUAUUAUCAACUAUGAUAUUACAGUGUUGCAUGGCUGUCUGCAGUUAAUGUCGUGAGAUUUGGAUAGCUCCUUAAUUAACGGAAACCUUACUUUAUUGAAAUAACAUU
rnacentral:rRNA from 1 species